ACGGCUACCUUGUUACGACUUCACCCCAGUCAUGAAUCCCACCGUGGUAAGCGGCCUCCUUACGGUUAGCCUACCUACUUCUGGUGAAACCCACUCCCAUGGUGUGACGGGCGGUGUGUACAAGGCCCGGGAACGUAUUCACCGCGGCAUGCUGAUCCGCGAUUACUAGCGAUUCCGACUUCAUGCACUCGAGUUGCAGAGUGCAAUCCGGACUACGAUCGGUUUUGUGAGAUUGGCACCCCCUCGCGGGUUAGCGACCCUCUGUACCGACCAUUGUAUGACGUGUGAAGCCCUGGUCAUAAGGGCCAUGAGGACUUGACGUCAUCCCCACCUUCCUCCGGUUU
rnacentral:rRNA from 1 species